rnacentral:rRNA from 1 species
GACGUAGGGUGCGAGCGUUGUCCGGAUUUAUUGGGCGUAAAGAGCUCGUAGGCGGCUCGUCGCGUCGACCGUGAAAACCCGCGGCUUAACUGCGGGCUUGCGGUUGAUACGGGCGGGCUAGAGUUCGGUAGGGGAGACUGGAAUUCCUGGUGUAGCGGUGAAAUGCGCAGAUAUCGGGAGGAACACCAAUGGCGAAGGCAGCUCGCUGGGACGUUACUGACGCUGAGACGCGAAAGCGUGGGGAGCAGACGAGG